GACGAACGCUGGCGGCGUGCCUAAUACAUGCAAGUCGAACGCAGUGGGGACGGGUGAGUAACCCGUGGGUAACCUCCCAUCAGAGGGGAUAACACUUGGAAACAGGUGCUAAACCGAUACUGAUGGCUGAACCCGCGGUGCAUUAGCUAGUUGGUGAGGUAACGGCUCACCAAGGCCACGAUGCAUAGCCGACCUGAGAGGUGUAUCGGCCACACUGGAACUGAGACACGGCCCAGACUCCUACGGGAGGCAGCAGUAGGGAAUCUUGGGCAAUGGGCGAAAGCCUGACCGAGCAACGCCGCGUGUGUGAAGAAGGGUUUCGGAUCGUAAAACUCUGUUGUUGGAGAAGCGGUAUCUAACCAGAAAGCACCGGCUAACUACGUGCCAGCAGCCGCGGUAAUAC
rnacentral:rRNA from 1 species